UACAGAGGGUGCAAGCGUUGCUCGGAAUUACUGGGCGUAAAGCGUGCGUAGGCGGUCUCAUAAGUCGGGUGUGAAAGCCCUAGGCUCAACCUAGGAACUGCGCCCAAUACUGUGAGACUUGAGUGUCGGAGAGGAUAGUGGAAUUCCCAGUGUAGAGGUGAAAUUCGUAGAUAUUGGGAGGAACACCAGUGGCGAAGGCGGCUAUCUGGACGAACACUGACGCUGAGACACGAGAGCGUGGGGAGCAAACAGG
rnacentral:rRNA from 1 species